AACCGAAAAGGCAAACCUACAGUAAUGUGGGGACGCAAAGUCGUGCACCCUAUAAAAAAAUUUUUUGAUAGGGCAGGCAGAUUGCCGAAC
rnacentral:ncRNA from 1 species